rnacentral:rRNA from 1 species
UUUAUGGAGAGUUUGAUCCUGGCUCAGGAUGAACGCUGGCGGCGUGCCUAAUACAUGCAAGUCGAGCGAACGGACGAGAAGCUUGCUUUUCUGAUGUUAGCGGCGGACGGGUGAGUAACACGUGGAUAACCUACCUAUAAGACUGGGAUAACUUCGGGAAACCGGAGCUAAUACCGGAUAAUAUUUUGAACCGCAUGGUUCAAAAGUGAAAGACGGUCUUGCUGUCACUUAUAGAUGGAUCCGCGCUGCAUUAGCUAGUUGGUAAGGUAACGGCUUACCAAGGCAACGAUGCAUAGCCGACCUGAGAGGGUGAUCGGCCACACUGGAACUGAGACACGGUCCAGACUCCUACGGGAGGCAGCAGUAGGGAAUCUUCCGCAAUGGGCGAAAGCCUGACGGAGCAACGCCGCGUGAGUGAUGAAGGUCUUCGGAUCGUAAAACUCUGUUAUUAGGGAAGAACAUAUGUGUAAGUAACUGUGCACAUCUUGACGGUACCUAAUCAGAAAGCCACGGCUAACUACGUGCCAGCAGCCGCGGUAAUACGUAGGUGGCAAGCGUUAUCCGGAAUUAUUGGGCGUAAAGCGCGCGUAGGCGGUUUUUUAAGUCUGAUGUGAAAGCCCACGGCUCAACCGUGGAGGGUCAUUGGAAACUGGAAAACUUGAGUGCAGAAGAGGAAAGUGGAAUUCCAUGUGUAGCGGUGAAAUGCGCAGAGAUAUGGAGGAACACCAGUGGCGAAGGCGACUUUCUGGUCUGUAACUGACGCUGAUGUGCGAAAGCGUGGGGAUCAAACAGGAUUAGAUACCCUGGUAGUCCACGCCGUAAACGAUGAGUGCUAAGUGUUAGGGGGUUUCCGCCCCUUAGUGCUGCAGCUAACGCAUUAAGCACUCCGCCUGGGGAGUACGACCGCAAGGUUGAAACUCAAAGGAAUUGACGGGGACCCGCACAAGCGGUGGAGCAUGUGGUUUAAUUCGAAGCAACGCGAAGAACCUUACCAAAUCUUGACAUCCUUUGACAACUCUAGAGAUAGAGCCUUCCCCUUCGGGGGACAAAGUGACAGGUGGUGCAUGGUUGUCGUCAGCUCGUGUCGUGAGAUGUUGGGUUAAGUCCCGCAACGAGCGCAACCCUUAAGCUUAGUUGCCAUCAUUAAGUUGGGCACUCUAAGUUGACUGCCGGGGACAAACCGGAGGAAGGUGGGGAUGACGUCAAAUCAUCAUGCCCCUUAUGAUUUGGGCUACACACGUGCUACAAUGGACAAUACAAAGGGCAGCGAAACCGCGAGGUCAAGCAAAUCCCAUAAAGUUGUUCUCAGUUCGGAUUGUAGUCUGCAACUCGACUACAUGAAGCUGGAAUCGCUAGUAAUCGUAGAUCAGCAUGCUACGGUGAAUACGUUCCCGGGUCUUGUACACACCGCCCGUCACACCACGAGAGUUUGUAACACCCGAAGCCGGUGGAGUAACCUUUUAGGAGCUAGCCGUCGAAGGUGGGACAAAUGAUUGGGGUGAAGUCGUAACAAGGUAGCCGUAUCGGAAGGUGCGGCUGGAUCACCUCCUUU